rnacentral:rRNA from 1 species
GACGAACGCUGGCGGCGUGCCUAAUACAUGCAAGUCGAACGCAUUUUCUUUCACCGUUGCUUGCUACACCGACAGAAAAUGAGUGGCGAACGGGUGAGUAACACGUGGGUAACCUGCCCAUCAGCGGGGGAUAACACUUGGAAACAGGUGCUAAUACCGCAUAAUUCCAUUUACCGCAUGGUAGAUAGUUGAAAGGCGCUUUUGCGUCACUGAUGGAUGGACUCGCGGUGCAUUAGCUAGUUGGUGGGGUAACUGCCUACCAAGGCUGCGAUGCAUAGCCGACCUUAGAAGGUGGUCGGCCACGAUGGGACUGAGGAAAGGGCCAGACUCCUACGGAAGGCAGCAGUAGGGAAUCUUCGGCAAUAGACGCAAGUCUGACCGAGCAACGCCGCGGGAGUGAAGAAGGUUUUCGGAUCGUAAAACUCUGUUGUUAGAAAAGAACAAGGAUGAGAGUGGAAAGUUCAUCCCUUGACGGUAUCUAACCAGAAAGCCACGGCUAACUACGUG